UAGCCCAGAUUUCUCUUCAGUCAUGCAUAAAUCUUUCGCCUUUUACUAAAGAUUUUCGUGAAGAAGAACAUCUAUGAGUUUCAUGUAUUUUUGUGAGCUUUGCUCUUGUAAAGCU